ensembl:lncRNA
AACGGCUGUGUGGACAUUUCAACGUGCAAUACCCCGGGAAGGAGCUGCAGAGCGGUGCGCAGAGAGCCAAGGCAUUCACCGUCUCCAAGUCUCUCUUACACUCUGUAAACACAACCAGCCCGGCAGACUCUGCUAUUGAAGACUGAUAUUUUCAUAAGCUAAAUACUGUCGUUCCCAUUGAUUUGUGCACUAACGCUUGACUUUUUUUUUUCAUCCUCCUCCUUUUGGACAACCAUGCAUGGGACAGUCCCAGCAGAAAAACCACCACAGAGCAUUUUAAAAACACCACAACACAACACUCUGCUACUCACGACUCCCCCCAUCCCAUGUUUGAAAUACUCUCAGGAAACAAUGCAGGAGUUCACAUGAUCAAGCAAGGUACCCAGGUAAUUACCUUGCAUUGUCAAAUAAAGCGACCACUGAUUCAAAUGAGGAGUGAAAUAUCAAAGACCAGCAUUGCCUUUGCAGCCACUACUUAUCCACACAGGAGACAGAGAGGAGAUCUGAGAGCUCGGGGACCUGCAGGGAGGCAACAACAACACUCAGCCUUCCUUUCCUAGAUAAAUAUCACCAAUGGGAGCAACAGAGCCAAACAUGCCCAAGUUCACUAGUAACAACAUAUUUAUUUGUAUUACAUAUCCUACUUAUCCAUUAUUAGCUUGUGCAUCCUUUAAAGUGGCCACAGUGCAGCUUUAACAAGAAGGAUUUUUUGCUAGAUUCCUGGACCCUCCUGAUGUGCUUCCUGCUGAGUCUCUCUCAAAGGUCAAAGGUUGGAAAUUUAUGAAUGUGACUGCAGCCUGGAGGAGUCGCAGGCAGCGUUUCGAAUCUUCUCCUGCAGCGUUUAUUCUAUAUUCGUAGAUGAAACACAAAGAGAGGAAUAGAGAGAGGCUAGGAUUAGAAUUGAGUAGCGCAUUAUUGUUUGGCAGCACAAGUCUUUAGCCAAAUUAGCUGCACAAACCACACGAUCAUUUAUAACGUGCGGCGUUUGCAUUUGAUUUUCCACUUGCUUAAAGUGCAGUCUCGAAUAAACUUUUGAAAUCAGAACGCGUUCUUUUCCUCCUACUUCACUUGCACUACUCAGCUUCUCUGACAUAAUUUAAUACACUGUGUAAUUUCUUCUUCUCCUGCGUAAUGACACCUUGAUUCGAGCGGCACUGACAACAAGACCUUUGACACCUUGACACAGUAAGUGGAUGGUGAUCUCAGUGAACAAUGUCACUGCUCUGGAAACAACACCCAAAAGAAGAAAAAAAAAAAACUCAUUUCUGAUCCCUUCACGUUCGAACUAGACAAGCGGCGUCCUGGGACUUCAGUUCAGCACAGAAAGACUACCUGUAAUUUGACUUGCCACGUCUAAAUGGAAGUUGAAUAGGUUACAUUGUGCAACAACAAAUAAAAUGCUUGUGAUGCUUUA